rnacentral:rRNA from 1 species
UACGUAGGGACCGAGCGUUGUCCGGAUUCAUUGGGCGUAAAGAGCUCGUAGGCGGCCACUCAAGUCGAAUGUGAAACCUCGAGGCUUAACCUCGAGCCUGCAUUCGAUACUGGGCGGCUAGAGUCUGGUAGGGGGAUCUGGAAUUCCUGGUGUAGCGGUGGAAUGCGCAGAUAUCAGGAGGAACACCGGUGGCGAAGGCGGGUCUCUGGGCCGUAACUGACGCUGAGGAGCGAAAGCGUGGGGAGCGAACAGG